CGCCUGUCCGGAGCCGCCAGAGCCGACCGCCUGUCCGGAGCCGCCAGAGCCGCCCGCCUGUCCGGAGCAGUCAGAGCCGCCCGCCAGUCCGGUGAGUCCUGUGCCUAUGCCUAGGGCCAGGCCUCUUUCAUGUCUCCCCAGCCUGGUGAGUCCUGUGCCUGUGCCCAGGUCCAGGCCUCCUUCAUGUCUCCCCAGCCUGAGCCGCCCACCAGCCCGGAGCCGCCAGAGCCGCCCGCCAGACUGGUGAGUCCUGUGCCUGUGCCCAGGGCUAGGCCUUCUUCAUAUCUCCCCAGCCUGGUGAAUCCUGGGUCAGUGCCGCCGGAGCCGCCAGGGAUGUCCGCCAGCUGGGCGCAGCCAGGGACGCCCGCCAGCCGGGCGCAAGCAGGGUCGCCCGCCAGCCGGGGGCAGCCAUCGCCGCCCGCCAGCCGGGCGCAGCCAUCGCCACCCGCCAGCGGGGCGCAGCCAUCGCCGCCCGCCAGCCAGGCGCAACCAGGGCCGCCCGCCAGCCGGGCACAGUCAGGGUCGCCCACCAGACCUUCGGCACGGCCAGGUGUGCCACCUAAGAGGGCGACGCCAAGGGUGGAACAGAGGUCACGUCCCGCACUUGAGCCGCUGCCGUAAGAAGGCCCACCCGGACCCUCCCCUUCAGUGUCAGGUUUUGCGGCCGGAGUCCACACCUUGGGGUGGGGGGUACUGUAACGCCCUGGCCAUAGAGAGCGGUUUUUGUUCUUUAUUUUGGUUAGGCCAGGGUGUUACAUUGAGUGGGCGUUCUAUGUUCCUUUUUCUAUGUUUUUGUAUUUGUUUGUUUUGGGCCGUGUGUGGCUCCCAAUCAGGCACAGCUGAAGCUCGUUGUUGCUGAUUGGGAGUCACACAUAAGGAGCAUGUUUUUCCUUUGGGUUUUGUGGGUAAUUGUUUCUGUUUUGAGUAUUUUUCUAACAGGACUGUUUGCUGUCGUUUUUGUUCAUUUUUGUAGUGUUCUCUUGUUUUUUUAUUAAAAUUCUAAUGAUGAACACAUCCUCUGCUGCACCUUGGUCUCUCUCUCACAACAGCCCUUACAGGAAUAUAUUGAGAUGCAACUUAAACAACCGAUACGUAGACAUACAUAGGUUCAGAGUGGUCUCUUCGUGGAUCAUUUGUUAGAGAUAAGGUUAAAGCUUUUUUUGACUGUCUAAACGCUGACGGGAUUGUUUUCCGUCCAGGUACUACAUUUAAAGUAAAACUGCCCUUAAGUUCUGAAAAUUCUUUUUUUUCUUCCCGUAUGAGAAGAGUUGCUAUAUUUAUUGAAUAAUC
rnacentral:lncRNA from 1 species